rnacentral:rRNA from 1 species
GGCCGCGGGAAUUCGAUUCAGGCCUAACACAUGCAAGUCGUACGGGAAUUUUUAAUUCAAGUGGCGGACGGGUGAGUAACACGUAAGAAUUUGCCUUUAGGAGGGGGACAACAACUGGAAACGGUUGCUAAUACCCCAUAUGCUUUCGAGUGAAAUGGAUUUUUCCGCCUAAAGAGAAGCUUGCGGCUGAUUAGCUUGUUGGUGAGGUAAUGGCUCACCAAGGCGACGAUCAGUAUCUGGUUUGAGAGGAUGAUCAGACACACUGGAACUGAGACACGGUCCAGACUCCUACGGGAGGCAGCAGUGGGGAAUUUUCCGCAAAAGGGGAAAGCCUGACGGAGCAAUCUCGCGUGAGGGAUUAAAGCCUAUGGGUUGUAAACCUCUUUUUUCAGGGAGGAACAAAAUGAC